rfam:Desulfohalobium retbaense DSM 5692, complete genome.
GGAGGUAGGCCCUCCGGAGUCUGCUGUCGGAAGCCGGCUUCAAACCAACCCAAGCUGCGCGUGUUAAGAGCACGGGUGGUGAGCGUUGGGUGAGAAGGUAGCGCUAAACGUUAUCAGGU